rnacentral:rRNA from 1 species
AUAUUCCACAAUGGGCGAAAGCCUGAUGGAGCGACGCCGCGUGCGGGACGAAGCCCUUUGGGGUGUAAACCGCUUUUAGAAGGGAUGACACUCCCCCUCGGGGGAUACGACAGUACCUUCUGAAUAAGCAUCGGCUAACUACGUGCCAGCAGCCGCGGUAAUACGUAGGAUGCAAGCGUUGUCCGGAUUUACUGGGCGUAAAGCGCGCGCAGGCGGCACUACAAGUAAGGUGUGAAAUCUCCCUGCUCAACGGGGAGGGUGCACUUUAGACUGUAGAGCUAGAGGUCGGUAGAGGGGGGUGGAAUUGCUGGUGUAGCGGUGAAAUGCGUAGAGAUCAGCAGGAACACCCGUGGCGAAGGCGGCCCCCUGGGCUGUACCUGACGCUGAGGCGCGAAGGCUAGGGGAGCGAAC